UACGUAGGGCGCAAGCGUUGUCCGGAAUUAUUGGGCGUAAAGAGCUCGUAGGCGGCUUGUCACGUCGGAUGUGAAAGCCCGGGGCUUAACCCCGGGUCUGCAUUCGAUACGGGCUAGCUAGAGUUCGGUAGGGGAGUCUGGAAUUCCUGGUGUAGCGGUGAAAUGCGCAGAUAUCAGGAGGAACACCGGUGGCGAAGGCGGGUCUCUGGGCCGUUACUGACGCUGAGGAGCGAAAGCGUGGGGAGCGAACAGG
rnacentral:rRNA from 1 species